rnacentral:rRNA from 1 species
AACGAACGCUGGCGGCAGGCUUAACACAUGCAAGUCGAACGCAUCCUUCGGGGUGAGUGGCAGACGGGUGAGUAACGCGUGGGAACGUGCCCUUCAGUUCGGAAUAACCCAGGGAAACUUGGGCUAAUACCGGAUACGUGCGAGAGCAGAAAGAUUUAUCGCUGAAGGAUCGGCCCGCGUCUGAUUAGCUAGUUGGUGAGGUAAUGGCUCACCAAGGCGACGAUCAGUAGCUGGUCUGAGAGGAUGAUCAGCCACCUUGGGACUGGGACACGGCCCAAACUCCUACGGGAGGCAGCAGUGGGGAAUAUUGGACAAUGGGCGCAAGCCUGAUCCAGCCAUGCCGCGUGAGUGAUGAAGGCCUUAGGGUUGUAAAGCUCUUUCAGUGGGGACGAUAAUGACGGUACCCGCAGAAGAAGCCCCGGCUAACUUCGUGCCAGCCGCCGCGGUAA